AUUGAACGCUAGCGGGAUGCUUUACACAUGCAAGUCGAGCGAGCGGCGGACGGGUGAGUAAUGUAUGGGGACUGCCCGAUAGAGGGGGAUAACUACUGGAAACGGUAGCUAAUACCGCAUACUAUCGGAUAACCCAUAUGGGAUUAGCUAGUAGGUGAGGUAAUGGCUCACCUAGGCGACGAUCCCCAGCUGGUCUGAGAGGAUGAUCCGCCAACGUGGGACUGAGACGCGGCCCGCACUCCUACGGAGGCAGCAGUGGGGAAUAUUGCACAAUGGGCGCAAGCCUGAUGCAGCCAUGCCGCGUGUAUGAAGAAGGCCCUACGGUUGUAAAGUACUUUCAGUCGGGAGGCGUUACCGGCAGAAGAAGCACCGGCUAACUCCGUGCCAGCAGCCGCGGUAAUUC
rnacentral:rRNA from 1 species